GCCGGGCAUGGUGGCACAUGCUUGUAAUCCCAGCGCCCAGGAGGCUGAGGCAGGAGGAUCACUAGCUCAAAGCCAACCUCAGCAACUUAGCAAGACCCUGUCUCUA
rnacentral:sRNA from 1 species